rnacentral:rRNA from 1 species
GGUGUUGCAUGGCUGUCGUCAGCUCGUGUCGUGAGAUGUUGGGUUAAGUCCCGCAACGAGCGCAACCCUCAUCCUUAGUUACCAUCAGGUAAUGCUGGGGACUUUAAGGAAACUGCCAGUGAUAAACUGGAGGAAGGUGGGGAUGAUGUCAAGUCAUCAUGGCCCUUAUGGAGUGGGCUGCACACGUGCUACAAUGGUGGCUACAAUGGGCUGCAAAGUCGCGAGGCUAAGCUAAUCCCUUAAAAGCCAUCUCAGUUCGGAUUGUACUCUGCAACUCGAGUGCAUGAAGUUGGAAUCGCUAGUAAUCGUGGAUCAGCACGCCACGGUGAAUACGUUCCCGGGUCUUGUACACACC